GGAAGGGUGGCCGAGUUGGUUAUGGCGCCAGGUUAAGGUCAGCUUAACAUCUGUUUCCUGGUGAGGCAACCCGCGCGAGUUCGAGUCUCGUCCCUUUCA
rnacentral:tRNA from 1 species